AUCCGGUCGGUGGCCUCGGCGGCGCUGACGCUGCCGUCCGCGACCUGUCCGGCCAGUUCCUGGAGCGCCUGGA
rnacentral:tRNA from 1 species